GAGCUUCUCAUGAUGCGCAGGUGCAGACGGGAACUCAAUCCUUGUUGUGGCUCUUGGUUUUUCUUAUCCAGAGUGACCCUUCCCUGGCUGAUUUCCUUGGUCCUGCUUGCGUUUCAGAACUCCUACCAUCCACAGCCUACCCUUGUGAAAUGUCAGCGCUCAGAGCCGAGCUUGGGGACAAUUGAGGGACAGUCCGUUAUCACCCUCACAGCGCUGAGGGGGAGCUGGCGAUCUGGCCCAUCAGGAUCAGCUGUUCCCUCACUGAUUGAUUGCUGAGCAGUGAAUCUAAUUUGGAAAACACAAAGUGAGCUGGUUUGUCUGGAAAGAAAAAGAAAUGGGACCAUUUCUGUCCACAGCAUCAGGAUGUGCCUGUCAUAAUAUUUAGGGCUGACGACAGCAUUCAGAAGAAUGUGAAAACAAUAAACACAUCGGAAGGAGCCCGGAAAAAAUAUGAAGCAUUACAGGAGUUCUUGGGAAACUUAACGUCACAUUUCCGAGUUGAAGGAAGUGAAAAUGUGAAAGCUUUGACUUAAAGUGAGGAAAUUCAAGGUCUGACGUUCCAGGAAGUGGCUGGGAGAAUGAGGUAAAGAAAGGUGUUGAAGGUGGAAGAAACACCAUGAUCCAGUGGCAGGAGAACGAGAAGCGUGACUUGUGCUGGGACGUUUCCUGCCUGCCUGAGGAGUUCGAGGGAGGGGUAAGUACUUACAGAGAGCCACAAAUGGAGAAGACGUAGAAUGGGGAGUAGCAGCUCCUUUGUCGGGAAAGCAUUUACCCACCCUGGGCAUGUAACCCACCUAGGUACCAUUGCAGGAAGCUCUCUUUCCUCUCACUCCCAUGAGCAAUCACAUGAGCAAGUUCAUGCAUGUUCUCUGCUGGUUCUUUCCUGGCACACAUGACCCAUACCCCUUAUUAGAAAUGUAUCAGCUUCAAAUUUUUAGUUCUCUUUCUAUUAAUAUACCGAGUCCUCUACCAUCCUGGCUUUUGUAGGGCAGAAAAGGAUUUGAAUUUCUUUAUGCCCCAUCACUGCCAUAGUCUAUAGAUUUUAGAAGGUGAUUGAUAAAUGUGUUGAUUAAUUUUAUACAUAAUUUCAAAAGAAAGAGAAUAUUCAGCAAAUGUGUUAAAAAGGCAGGGGGACUUUUGAGACUAAAAGAUACUAAAAAGACCUGACAACCAACAAUUAAAUGCAAUUGAUUGUAUCCUGGAUUUUAAAAAAUCUAUAAAGGACAUUAUUGGGACAAUUGGAGAAAUUUGAACAUGGGAUGAUAAUAAGUUUCUUGAGUGUAACACUAGUAUUGUGGUUGAGGAAGGAAGUCCUUUUUCAGAGAUACUUGCUGAAAUAUUUAGUGAUAAAGUGUUAUAAUGUCUGCAAAAUACUUUCUAAAGAUACAGCAAAAAAUGGAUGUAUGUAGAUAGACGUAAGCUAAGGUAGCAAAAUCUUAAAUAAUUGAUAAAGCUGAGUGAAGAGCAUACAUGUGUUCAUUGUACUAGUUUUUUUUUUUUUUUGAAUUUCUUUAAGCUUCAAUUUUUUCCACAAAGAAAAACUUGGAAAAGUAAUAUUUUUAAAAAUGAUUUUUAUAAAUUAAAAUAAUUCCUGUAAACCCCAAAUUAGCAGAUCUUGCUUCUUCCACUCUCCCUUCCUCUGCAAUUCCAGAUUUUGCUGAUUUCUCUGUCUUCCGUGAUUUCAUUGUCCAGUAAAUCUUGUUCCCAUGGUCUUAUCUCCUCUACUAGACAUUGAGAUAUUCAUGGAUCACAUCAAAUGUUAGUUUCCUCAUGUAUUUGGUCCUAACCCUGCCUGCUAGUGCCUCACACACUGCCAGAUACGCAGUGGGUGUCCAUGGACGUUCUCAUGGUCUACUGGCAUCAUCAUCCUUGACCUAAAAGCUGUACCUUGGCUCUAUUCUCACUCAGAUUUCUUUUUUCUUUCCAGCUUUCUUCGCUCAGUCUAAAGCUGCUAUUAAUUCAUUUUCACAUUAUUCAGGAAAAAGAAUGCCGGAUCCCCGACAUCCUUAUGGCUUAUCACAUAUCCUUUGGGCAAAGGUAAUCUAGUCUGUGUCAUUGUAUUUAUUGCCCCCAAAUCAAAACCAGUUGCCAAAGUAAUGAAGGUCUAUUGGUUUGUGUUGACUUAAUCCAUGUCAGAGGAGCUGUGGGGGCAUAUAAGGAUAAUUUGACCAGCAAAAGGAAAGCCAUAAAAAUGAUCAAAAAGCCAAUAGAUAUGCUGAGAACACCAAGCUUAUUUUACUGAGGAUUUAUGGCCAACUUAUCAGAAAAUUAUUUGGUCCAAGUCUACACUCAAAUAAGUCCCUCAGUAAUUCAGCAAAGAUUCCAGCCUCUGAAAAAAAAAAAUAGCCUCUAUAAUGAGAUACCCUAGUAACCCCUAACUUGCAGCACAUGUAGUUUAAUUUUCAACAGUUGUGGGACUGCAGUAAAUCCAGCUUUUGAAUAACUAGUUCCACUUAUACCUCAGAUCUGCAUUAAAUUACCAGAGCAUGAAGGGCCCACUGCAUCGGCCCUCCUGACAUACUUGCAUAAGUGUUUAUUAAUCAAAUAGAGCUUAAAUGUCCGACAUACCCCAGAUGGCAGCAGUGCCAAUUCCCGCUGUGUUUCAGCAGAAGAGAAUACUGAAUUGCUAGGCUCUGCCACGCUGUGUCAGUUGUACCCCAACCCUGGAGGUAUUGACCAGACUCAAAUUGGCUUCCCCUCGUGUAGGUGAUAAAGGGUGGCAUCAAGUCACCCACGUAAAAUAUAUUACUUUAACUUUGACAGCUUGUCAUUGAAGUCCUUGUUUAUAUAAUCUAUUGUGCCAUUUACUAGAUUCUUAUUUUAAAAAGCAAACGUAGAAAUAAAAACUCUUUCUUCUAGUGUUUCAUUGAUGAAUGUCUAUACCCUGCACCUUCUCUUAAAUAAUCUCAGAAGUAGCUAUUUCUAUUGUCACUGUCAGUUUACAUCAAAUUAUCAGACCUUCAGUUUCAAAGUCUGCCUCCUGGAAGAUGAAAGACACAUAGCAUGCUUUAAUGGGAAUCCUUCCACUGCACAGCCUUCUUUCUUCCAAAUAGCUUGAGACUUGGUUUGUCUAAACAGAGAAGGAUCCUGCAAUGCUGAGGGUGGUCAGAUCCCAAAUGAACAUUACUAAAAGCUAUGAGCUUGUCGCAACUGAAAACCCCAAGGCAUCUUACAACCAGCAAGGAUGGAACUUCAUGUUGUGGGGAUUUAUUAAAAUAGUAUUUAGUUUUAGAACUAAAAACUUCUUUCAGAAGUCAGGCUUUGAAAUUCCAAAUAAGCCAUUUGGUAAAAGUCUAUGGGUUUUAAAGUUGGCAGGAUUGAAAAAACAAAACAAAAACCUUAUGUCUGACUUUGCUAACUGUCCACUUUAAUGCCCAAAAACACAACUGGGGAAAAGGACAUGUUUACAUUAGUAUGGAGGAAUGUAAAGCAUUCCAUCUUGGAGGGACAAAAAUAAAGGCUAACAGCAUUUUCCUAUUAGUUUAAAAAUACCACUGAACUAAAAUUUCCCUAUCUUGUAUGUAUAAAUUUAGCAUAGAAUUUAACGGCCUACUAUAAAAUUAGAUCAGAAAAUAUAGCUGAGAUAGUUAUUUCUCCUUCAGAUCUCUAAGUCCAUGUACAAGGUAAUCAUGAUAUUUACAAUGUCUGCAUUGCCUUUUGAAAUAAUAGUUUGGGAGACCCUUGCCCGAGAAAAGACGAGACUUAGAAGUGCCAAGAACUCUGCUCCUUUCCUACCAAAGGCUCAAAGGAUGAAUCACAUAAAAAGUCCUCUUGCCCUUUUGCCACAGACUAACUUUGAUGACUGUUUUCAUAAGGUGAAGAUCAGAUUCUCUGUUUCUGACCCAGUUCAGAGACCUAUUUAAGAAGAAAUGAGAGAACCCAGCUAAUGCGUUUAAUUAUACUUCCGUUCGAUAAUUUGCUAUUGAUACCCUCAAAAUGUAAGUUCUUUUCUCUGGAUAAUCUUUGUUGAUUACUGCAUUUUCUCAUAUUCUGUGUCGUAUGGAUGCUUGAAUUAUUUAUAUUCCUUUUUUUCCCCUGAUUUUUGAAGUAAUUGCUGAAAGACUAUUCCCCUUACUAACUUCAAUAAUCGGAAACACAGGAAAAUUUUGUUUUCUAAACUCCCAAAGAGACUUAGAACUGAGAAUUCAAACUGUAAACUAAGCCUCUUCAAUGUGGUGGGCAGUACAACUUCUUUUUCCCAUACCCCAGAAUAACAUUCCUCUCUCCUCCUCUUGUAAGAAAAAACAUUUCCCUCCGGUCUAUAACUUUUCUAUUCAAUCUCCAUUUAGAUUACUUGUCCUCAGGGAUACGGCUGUGCUAAGAGCCUUAGGAAGAAAACCACGAUUAGUCACCAGGCUUGCAAAAUCCUCCCCAAUUCUGUUUACGGGGAUUGAUGCCAAAUCUCCCAACGUGCUCAGUGCUGGUGUUCUUUUCAGGGUCAUUCUGCUUGCUCAGCACAGAUUAAACACACAGCCUCGCUAUUUCCAGUGUUGUGAGGAGACACAUUUACAUUCCACUGACAGCGUGGAGUGUAAAAGGGAGCCAUCUGCUGAGAUUUCACAACACGAGGGGCAGCUACAACUUCAAGAAGAGACGAGGAGUUCAACUCAGUCCGAGCGCUCCUCUCUGUGUGGCAGACCUGGGGAGAAAUCUCCUCCACAUUAAAAGGCAUUUUUUUUCUUAAGUGGUCCUAGAAGUUGGUCCUUCAGCCAAUAGCGUCAUUGUUCCCUUUUAUUAAAGUUUCUUCACUACUAUUUUUAAGGCUCCUUUCCUAGUCUCAGGAACCUGGAAUAAAGAUACUAUUUCUACUACAGAGAUCACAGCUAGAUCUUUGAUUAUUUGCGUGUCUUCCUAGGCAAUUAAUCUUUUCGAUAUUUAGUUAAUUUUCCACAAUGAGACUAUCUGUAAAUACUUUGAAACUAAAAGGUGGUACAUAGGGAAAAAGAUAAAGUAAUUAAAAUCUGAAAGUUUAAUGCGUCCGUGGCAUUUUACGUGCCAUCUCAUUUUAAUCUUCAUGACAAUCUAAUGAUACAGAGGUGAUUGCCCUUAUUGAGAAGAUGAAUUAAGCAAUUUGGCCAAAAUCACACAGCUAGUUAGCAACAGACCUGUAUCCAUAUUGUCAGAGCUUGUUCAGUUAUGCACAGAUGCAUCCUAGGUAGGGCGUUAUAUAGAUAUAACCACAAAUCUACCCUUAACUCCUGCUAGGUUACCCUUAUUUGACAUAUUUACACACUGAGAGGUGUGACUAACAAGGGUUAUUUUAUAUUUCAAGUCUCUUGCUAUGUGUAGUGCUUACAAAACCAGCCAGGCUUCUCUGCUCAUCGAUGUUUGUUUAACAUUUUUAAGGACUUUGCAUGUGAGAGUAAGCUUCAAUAAAGUAGGCUGAUGGGUGGAAAGGUUUUGUUUGUGAGUUCUAGGAAGGUGCCUGGCACACAGUAGGUGUCUGGGAGGUAGGCUGUCUCUAUAAACAGUGCCUGCAUAGAUGCUGAAAAAUUCAGCAGGAGAACAAAGAAAAAGACCCAUAAUUCACAACUUUCAGUCCCAUGCUUUUAACACCCCAGCAUGUCUCUCAAGAAAUAAAACAACUAAACAACGCAGAAAAUCUCCCAGGGUUGUUGCUUGUAUAAAACAGCCGUGUGCUCCCCUCCAGUCUUAACACGAUGUUACCAGACGAUGAUUAAGAAGGUAGCUGUUUCAGGGCUUCACAGUGUCAGGAAACAAGGUAUCAAGCCCAACGACUCCCUUCUUAGGUGCAACACUUCGAUUGCAGCCAUCUAUUGCUUCCAACUGUAAAUAUUAACGGCGAAGAAAAGAGAGAGCUCUUUAUUGGCUCUGGGCUGCCUGAGCUCAGCAUAUUACAUGGCACUCUGGCAUUAUUUGCUGAGACAUAGAUAAUUGUACUUCUUGUUAACAAGUUUCCAUGUAUUUUUUACUCCAUCAGCAGGUUCUUGAAUCAAUGCCUGGAUUAGGUUUGACUAACAUCAGCACAAUUUGACUUUGAUGGAAAGUUUGAAAUUUAUAGUUAAAAACUGUACAUCCAUUUGCUAAUUUCCAAGUGCAAGCAGCUGGUUCUUUUGGAUCCCAUAGUCUUUAUGCCCGGUUCCCCAAACCACAUGAGUUCUUUUGCCUCUGACUGGAAGAAGGAGACCAUAAUGUUUUAAGGACGCUGGGGAACAUUUAGGAGCAAAUAAGGAGGCCUUUCCCAUUUCACCCAUUGCCCAAGGUUUUAAGGUUUCCACCAGCAUGGGAGAACGGCAGAGCUGUUUUUAUAUUCCUUUUGAGACACUAAGUUUCAAAACCAUUAUAUAGGAACUCCUAUUUUCUUGCAGACGUAAGAAAAAAAAUGGCCUCAAUAUUAUUUAUGUGUAAAUGUGCACACAUAUUUCACUCCAUAUAAAGUAUAUAUAGUCCCUAACACACACUUAAGCUGUCUCAUUGCAAUGGCACAUUACUACCUAUAAAAAGUCUGAUGCAAAAAGGUUUUCCUGCACCACCAUGCAGAAAAUCAAAGACAGUGUUACAUGUGUAUAAGAUCGUAUACAGUCUAACUACUGUUAUUUAUAAGAAUAUACUUUUAAUUUAUGUAGCAAAAAUUCUAAUUGGUGUAUUCUUAGCCAUGGACACUUACAUUCAUGGCAUACUAUACUUUUGCCUUAAUGUAUGAUUUCAAGAUCCUAUAUUUAUUUCGAGGUCCUCUUCUGUGUUUGGAAAGUUGUAUUCAAACAGAAUGUGCCAUCUUUUUCCCUUCUGUCAACUUCAGAGUUCAUGACAUAUUGUAAGUGCUCAGAUUUUGGGGGACUGAAUUGACAAAUUAGACGGCAUCGUAAAACCAAUGCGAAAAGAAACUUUGACAUAAAUGAUGGGCAGCUCCUGAUAAAUCCGGGUGAGACUUGGCACCUUUGUCAGGGGGAGGGGAAGGUUUAUAGAUCCGUGCAUCAGGCCCAAUCUGGACCUCACUUUGAACUGAGAGAACUUAGUGGGAGCUUGUCAUUACGAUUGCAAUCUGUGAUCACUGGAAUGAGAAAAUCAGUGAGCAAAUCCUUCAGAGCGAACUGAACCGAGGAUGGUGCCCUUGUUACAUCCCGCUCUGGCUAACAGUGCCAUGUGAGUUAAUACCCAGGCACAGUCUACUCUUCCCUCACGGAAUACUUUAUUGAACGGGUAGCCACUCAAAUGCUUUGCACCUAUGUACAUGCACAUCACCUUCAUGCGUCUCAUAAUGCAACCCAGGCUCCUUACGUCCCAGAAUGCCUCUUUACAAAGGUGCACAUUUUCCUCUUCAACAGAGCAAUGGCCUAAACUCCCCAUCCACGAUGGGAGUCCUGCAAAAUACUCCACCAUUUCUGUUUCAAGGCAGAAGACUAAUUAUACGCCAUUACACAGAACCUGUAGCUCUUCAGCUCACCCUACAGGGUGAAUGUGAAGCUCAAAGUCAUCACUUAGGGUUCUGCAAAUAAAUUUUUAACUCGGGUUGCUUAUAUUGGUUUCUAUAAUUCAAGAGCAUAUAUAUUGGUAAUUAAGUGGCAAUGGAGUUAUACCAGCCCAAACAUACACAACCUUUAACCAAAAGAAGAUGCAAAUUAGGAUAAUUUACAUACUGCCAGCUGUGAAUAUCUUUAGCACUCACGGGACUUAACGGUAAAAAUAAAUAGAUACCAGAUCCCAUUGUGUCCACAGAGCAGACUUUAAACUUUCUUUCCCGUUUAUCUUCUUCAUUCGCUCCAUGGAGCUGUUCUUCAAAAAAUUCCACAGAGUUCCCUGGCUAUAGUUUGUCUUGUGAAAAACUUGUGUUUUUGUAAAGUAUUUGGAAUGGUACCUAUUUUAAACCCUCAUUUUACAAUUAAGAAGUGUUAACAUUUCUAAAAUUUUCAGUCUGCUUAAAAGGAAUCUCCAAGUGUUGCAUUUUACAAAUUAGGAAACGGAAACCCCAGAUUGCGAAUUGGAGAAGAAAACAAGGAUUUGAGGUUAGAUGAACGGCAUGACUCUGAGGAAGUCACUUUCACUAGGUUGGGCCUUAGUUUUCUCAUCUGUAAAGUGGAAAUAGCAGUACUAUUUGGUUAGGAUUAAGUGAGGGACAGAAUGUUGGGGCAUUUGAUCAUUAGGUGGAUAUAAUUAGCUAUCAGAGAAGGCACCAUGAGAACCCUGGUCAUCUGAGGCCUGAGCCAAUGGGAGUCUUGUGCACCAGCUGCUAACUCCCUUCGGGCAGUUAAUGGUCCACUCUCAGAACCUUCUGGUUUCUUUAGCUCUGAAGAUAGGUUGCACUAUCCACAAAAUGUUCAAACCACUGCUCGAUAUGGGGUACAAUUUAUAUUGAUCUGUACAAUGGAGACAUUUAUUAAAGUGAGCAAAUAUAUUUCUUAAUUGUAUGUAUUUUAAGAUGAUGAACCAUAACAGGAUCAGUCUACUGCCCCAAAGGCUCUUUGUUAGCCGUGUGGAUCCAGGGAAUUUGCUCAAUUUUCAGUCAAGGGAGACUUAAUCUGAUUAUACUCAAACCUCCUCAGACCAAAACACGUCUUUGGUCCUUUGAGAAAAAAGGGGAGAGCGUCAGAGGCCUGAAAAUCCUCAAUUAAUGAAUAAGAACGUUAGAAAGAUUCAAAUGAAGUAAAAAAAAAAAGUGCUUAGAGCAAGACUUAGUAAUAAAAUCAUGCCUAAGAAAACUCAUAAUUAGCAGAAAUCAAAAACUGGGUUAAAGAAUAUGUACCUUUAAUAAGCCAGUUAAACUCUUUCACCCACAAUCUGCUUAACAAAAACGUCCUGCCUGUACACCAAUAUUGAAAAGAAGAAUUUCUGGAACAAGGAGAAGCUUGUAUUGGUUUGGGCUCCAAUAGGAAAGAAUAAGUCUAAAAACAUCAGUUUUGGAGUUUUCAUUAAUCAAAUAAAACCAUCAUUAAAGAAAGAUGCUACUGUUUUUGGUAUAAGGUCUCUUCUAGUCAGAAAGUAAAUGGCAGCUCACACUUAGUAACAACCUAUAGGAAUUCGUUUAGAGGAAAACAUGGCACAGCCCUAAAUCACAGAAUUAUGGAACCACUCUUCCUUCUCUGGCUAGAUUUUAACAGAAGUGUAGGCAAUUUACACUGUAAUCUAGCCCUACCUGUAAUCUAUCCAAUUUUAUAUCCCAUUAUUUCCCAGCAUUCUUUGCCUGUUCCAGUCAUCCGCUCUCUGUACUUGAUGUCAUCCACACUUUCACCCCCUCUCACAUCUUGACUUUUGACCUUUUUUCUCUCUUGAAUGCUCUCCCAUUUUCUGUCCUCUAAUCUGUCUCAUAUUUCAUGACCUAGCUUGAUUCCCACAUCUGCCAUGAAAAUGUCCCCUCUCGCAAUAGCUCAUAGCGACCAAACUUCUGUGAACUCAGACUGUGCUUUUACUCAGUAACAUAAAUUAGGGGUUAAUUGUUUUCAAUAUAUCUUGUAGUUUCCUUUUUUUCCCUCUAAAACAAGACUGUAGUUUUCUUGAAAUUAUUAUAGUAGAGAUUAUAUGUUAUAUUUCACAGACUCCCUGCUCUUUCCUCACUCCUUAUGUCCUCCCUAUUGUCAGAUGCGUUGUAGAAACCAGUGUGUGGAUGGAAUGGUCACUUUGGGAAGAUAAGCUCAUUCUUUUCGGUGUAGAGGAUAGCUCUGCACUGUCGUGGGACCUAUGAAAGGACAGAACACUGGGUUUCCUGCUGAGAGGCCCGAAUGUCAGCUUGUCCCACCGGAGCAGUUACUGAAGACCAAGGUGUCUCCCAGGGAGGACGGAUGGGCAGCAAGGAGGCAGGAGCGGACGGCACAAUUACUCCAGGAUCAGAGAACUAAAAUGAGUCAAGGCCUCUCUCGAAAGUCAACGGCUUUUAAGUGUGGGGCUGUUCCAGUGUAUAUUAAUAAUCAUCCUGCUCACCCCACUCAACAACUGGCUCAUCAUUCAUGCGCAG